rnacentral:rRNA from 1 species
GUAGGGAAUAUUGCGCAAUGGACGAAAGUCUGACGCAGCGACGCCGCGUGAGUGAUGAAGGCCUUAGGGUCGUAAAGCUCUGUUGAAUGGGAAGAAAAAAAUGACGGUACCAUUCGAGGAAGGACCGGCUAACUCCGUGCCAGCAGCCGCGGUAAUACGAGGGGUCCUAGCGUUGUUCGGAAUCAUUGGGCGUAAAGGGUGUGUAGGUGGCCAUGUAAGUCAGGUGUGAAAGCCCCGGGCUCAACCCGGGAAAUGCACUUGAUACUGCGUGGCUUGAGUACCGAAGAGGGUAGUGGAAUUCCAGGUGUAGUGGUGAAAUACGUAGAUAUCUGGAGGAACACCGGUGGCGAAGGCGGCUACCUGGUCGAGUACUGACACUGAGACACGAAAGCAUGGGGAUCAAACAGGAUUAGAAACCCUUGUAGUCC